rnacentral:rRNA from 1 species
GGCCCCUGACCGGGGUUGCGGACAGUGUCUGGUGGGUAGUUUGACUGGGGCGGUCUCCUCCCAAAGCGUAACGGAGGAGCACGAAGGUUAGCUAAUCCUGGUCGGACAUCAGGAGGUUAGUGCAAUGGCAUAAGCUAGCUUGACUGCGAGCGUGACGGCGCGAGCAGGUGCGAAAGCAGGUCAUAGUGAUCCGGUGGUUCUGAAUGGAAGGGCCAUCGCUCAACGGAUAAAAGGUACUCCGGGGAUAACAGGCUGAUACCGCCCAAGAGUUCAUAUCGACGGCGGUGUUUGGCACCUCGAUGUCGGCUCAUCACAUCCUGGGGCUGAAGUAGGUCCCAAGGGUAUGGCUGUUCGCCAUUUAAAGUGGUACGCGAGCUGGGUUUAGAACGUCGUGAGACAGUUCGGUCCCUAUCUGCCGUGGGCGCUGGAGAAUUGAGGGGGGCUGCUCCUAGUACGAGAGGACCGGAGUGGACGCAUCACUGGUGUUCGGGUUGUCAUGCCAAUGGCACUGCCCGGUAGCUAAAUGCGGAAGAGAUAAGUGCUGAAAGCAUCUAAGCACGAAACUUGCCCCGAGAUGAGUUCUCCCUGAGACUUUAAGUCUCCUGAAGGAACGUUAAAGACGAUGACGUUGAUAGGCCGGGUGUGUAAGCGCAGCGAUGCGUUGAGCUAACCGGUACUAAUGAACCGUGAGGCUUAACCUUACAACGCCGAAG